rnacentral:sRNA from 1 species
GGCGAGGGCUGGCCAUGCUCCGCCGGAAGGCGCCUUGUUCUCGGAGAGGGUGAGUUGAAACGCUGCCUGGAAAGGAAGCACCAGGACUUGCACAGAAUAAACACCGGAGCGCCCCAAACACAAGCCGGGGGAGCUGCCUUAUCAGUGUCUGCUGCAUCCUACCAUCACACCGGCGUCUACAGAUCGUUUCAUCUCCAUGCUUUUCUGAGUUUGUCGACUCAGUCAAGGAUUCUCAGCCUAGGUUAGCAUCUGCUGAAGUCAUCUGGUGUGGGGCACAUUCCAUAUCGAAAGAGUUCCACCAUCUUCCUCUGAAGACGUAGCCAUCUUGCUCCAUGAAGGUCAGGACAAUCUGACAUGCACUUGUUUCUUGCCUCUAUACUUGAAGAGUAGUCCUCUUACAUUGUGUACAUUUUUUU